AACUCCUCGUGAACUCAAAUAUACGUGAAUGCAGGGUGAGAACAACCGGUAGAAUAUGCAUGAAUUGCCUCGAGGAUGCUUUCGAUCUUCCUUUGAAACAUUGUAUUAAUCAUCCGGUUAGGAGAGAUGUUCAUUUUGUCGCCAUACAAAUAUUGUGCAGAAACUCUUGAUAACGUAUUUCGUCAGUUCUGAUCGUAGUAUCAAUUUCAAAUCAUCUUACAGUAAUUUGUAUUUGAUAUUUCGGUUAUUAUCAAAAAUCAAGGAAUUCAAUUAAAACGCGUUUUAGUUUUCGUCACCAAUUUGGUGACGAUAAGUAUUUCAAUCAGUAGCCACAAGUUCAGGACGAUGGGACAUAGGAGUCCUGAAGAAGGGGGUUGAGGAUCGCUGGGAAAACCCCGCCAUUGCAACGGUCACUUUGCCUGGUAUUUUGAAGAGGACGGUCGAUACCCGUGAAAAUCGCCGUUACGUACGUUAAGUUUUGUGGAAGUGAAGAGGAAGAUCUGGUAGACGCCAUCCCGGAGGAAAGCCGUCCGACGAUCUGGAGAUCCGGACGCAAGCAGGAGGAGCCUGCGUUGAUUUGUGGACAUCCAGAACCCCUCGGUGUUCGUAUGCUUCGCGUACAGGCCGGCACAGACGCAUCCGUCCGCCGUAAGCCACCCGACACCCGCGGUACAUCGUACCGCCGAGCACGAUCGCUCACGCACGAGGAUCGCCCGCGACACCGUUCCGGUGUGGGAACCGCCCUCGCGAAGCCGCCAUUUUGGUCUGCGGACCAACCGUCGCGAGAUAAGACGCCAGCCUCGCCAUCCGUUACAACAACCGACGCCGGAAACCAGGCAGACCGGUGGAUUCAUCCGCCGUAGUCCCAGAGUCCGUCAACAUACUCGGGAGCGUCGCGGCAGGUGGCGCAGAAGAGGGUCGAGUACGAGAACAGCAGCUGACCGCCCAUAGUGGUCGCCGAAUGUGAGAGGAAGACGUGUCCCGCCCCGGUUGACCGAGUCCCGGAGGUCGGUGGAGGCGUGUAGCCGUUGUUCCAGGAACGCGAGCUGAGAGUGGAGAGAAAGCGGAAGCAGCAGUUCCGGAAAGGGCCCGAAGAAGAAGGAAGAAGGACGUGUGAGGUCCAAUCGAGUGUUUCCCUUUCCGAUUCCGGAUUAACAUGCCGACCCUGAGGCAAAAAGAGGGGGGUCUCACUGAUGCUGGAGUAGCCCACCAUUUGUUACAUGUUGGAGACGGUGGAGCCGAGUCUCGGCGGAGCUAGAGUCAGAGUCAGAGUCGACGUAACUAAAUCUCUAGAAGCCAGAGUCGGAUUCGGUGUCACAAAAUCGGAGUCGGAGUAACUUCACUGUAAGAGGUACCCGACUCCACUGUCCUCAUAGGAAUCAUACUGAACAUGGUAAAAAAGGUGUUCAUUGGAAAAUAGUGUACAAGUUGCCGGACGAGGCACCUAACUUUUUUACAAGAGGCAAAAAAACAGAAAAUAUUUCAAAUAACAG